CCUCCUUCCCCAUGAGGGGAUUUGGAUGUGCAGAAGGGAAUGGAACUGCAGUCAGGUCAACCCUCAGCCACUCUGGAAGGACUGCAGUUAAAUCAUGAAGACAAUCCUCCUUCGAUUAUGAAGCAGCUGUGGAGUUUGGAUUUGUAUAUAUGUGACCAGAGGACCAACGCCAUGCUUUCUAAAAGGCCUGGAGAUCAGACAACAGUCAUCGCUCCUCCUUCUCUUUGUGUUGGUCAUUUUGGCAAAUUACUGGAAGACAGCAGUUCCAACAGAAAAAAAGUGUAUUUAAGAUAGAAGAAUCAAUUGAUAAUUAAGCUUAGGGGAGCUCAAUAAAGUCAACCUCACUAGAAGGAUGAUUUGGGAUAGAUCAUUGUGGAAGAUGAAGGCAGAUAAAAACCAUUAAGAAGGACAAAGAGGUAAGAAGUGGAAAAAGCCUGGGAACUGAGUGUCAAACCUUAUCUUCAGUGGUGGUUUUGUCACUAACAAGCCAAAUAAAUGACCUUAGG
rnacentral:lncRNA from 1 species